rnacentral:rRNA from 1 species
UACAUGUACAGGAUAGGUGGGAGGCUUUGAAACCAGGACGCCAGGUUUGGCGGAGCCAUCCUUGGGAUACCACCCUUGUAGUACUGGGACUCUAACCAUAGGCCAUGAAUCUGGUCUUGGGACACUGUCAGGUGGGCAGUUUGACUGGGGCGGUCGCCUCCCAAAAGGUAACGGAGGCGCUCAAAGGUUCUCUCAGUACGG